rnacentral:rRNA from 1 species
AUGGCCUCAAGCUCCGCCGCCGCCGCUGCCGCACCAGCCCUCAUCCCCAUCGUUGAUCGCCUCCAUCGCUCCAACUUCCUGGUGUGGCGUGCUCAAGCGGUUGCUGCCAUCCGUGGUGCCCAGCUCAUCUCCUUCAUCAACCCAAAGAGAGAGGAAUCAACGCCCAAGUUCCUGGACAAGGAUGGCAAGCCCACCGAUGUUCCCAACCCGGUGUAUGAGAUCGCCAAGGCUCAGAAUUCACAGGUUUUGAGUUUUCUGUUCAAUUCAGUCUCACCUAUUGUGAUGAUCCAGAUUGCCCACUGUGCCCUGGCAUCGGCAGCAUGGACUGCCAUCACGGAGAUGUUCAUCUCCCAAACCCAGGCGCACAUGGUGAACAUGAGGAUUGCCCUGUCGACAACCAAGAAGGGGACCUCAAUGGUGGUCGAGUACAUCGGCCGCAUGAAGGUGCUCGAAGACGAGCUGGCGUCUGUUGGGAAGCCCCCCACCGAUGAUGACAUGGUGUCAUACAUCCUCGUCGGCCUUGACUUCGACUACAUGGGCUUUGUCUCCUUCCUGUGCGCCAGGGCCGAGCCGAUCAAGGUGAACGAGCUCUAUUCCUUCCUCGCCGGCUUCGAGAACAUGCACGCUAUGUUCGAUGGCGGGCAUCAAUCCUCUCACUCCUCUGCCAACACCGUCUCCCAUGGCGGCGGUCGUGGCGGAUGA